rnacentral:rRNA from 1 species
AUUGAACGCUGGCGGCAUGCUUUACACAUGCAAGUCGAACGGCAGCGCGGGGCAACCUGGCGGCGAGUGGCGAACGGGUGAGUAAUAUAUCGGAACGUACCCAGAAGUGGGGGAUAACGUAGCGAAAGAUACGCUAAUACCGCAUACGAUCUACGGAUGAAAGUAGGGGACCGCAAGGCCUUAUGCUUUUGGUGCGGCCGAUAUCUGAUUAGCUAGUUGGUGAGGUAAAGGCUCACCAAGGCGACGAUCAGUAGCUGGUCUGAGAGGACGACCAGCCACACUGGAACUGAGACACGGUCCAGACUCCUACGGGAGGCAGCAGUGGGGAAUUUUGGACAAUGGGCGCAAGCCUGAUCCAGCAAUGCCGCGUGAGUGAAGAAGGCCUUCGGGUUGUAAAGCUCUUUUGUCAGGGAAGAAACGGUAGAGGCUAAUAUCCUGUGCUAAUGACGGUACCUGAAGAAUAAGCACCGGCUAACUACGUG